UAAAUCAGCUGGAUGGGGGACACGUCCAAUCAAUUUUAUAAUAAAAUAAUGUCCUUUCUGGGUUGAUUUACUGUAUUGAACCUGAGAGGGCAGCUGCAGAAUCUGAAACCAGAGGGUGCAGAUUUUGCUUCAUCUGGUGAAUUUUGUGGAAAAGUCGGGAACAGGGAGAGCAACUGCCAGUUCCUGCCUCUGGGUGGCUGGGAAGAAGCUGCUGAACUUCAGCCCAAGAUUCUCUUCGAAUUGUUCCACGUCUUUCCCAAAAUGUGAUGCCCAACAUGGAAUAAAGUAACCCAGCCAAGACCAGAGGAGUGUGGAAGGAUUAUUUCCCAUGUCUUACUAUUUCCCCAAUGUCUGCCAGUGCUCAAAUCCAGCAUUGAAGAAGAUGUUUUCUACUGCUGUUGUAGAUGGAUGCUGCUGGUGAAUCAGAACGUGAAAUAGGCUAAUUAAUGAUCUUUGGAACAACCAAAUCCCUCCAGGUUUCAGUUUUACCUGAAGGGAUGAUGUGCCAGCAAAAGAGAAAUGCAAGACACAUUAAAAUAAUACAGUAAUAUUACUACAUGGAGUAAAUUUCAGGAAAAAA